GAACAAAAGGUAAGAGUCAAGGUGGAGUCUUCUUAACUUAGCAUUCUCAUGCUUAAGUUAGAGGGCGAAUAUUGGAGUGAAUAAUAAAUGCAAGGCUAUGGGAGUUCAUGAUUCUGAAGUUGGAUUCAUACUUCACCCCUCAAUGAGUUAAUAUAGCUUUGUUCCUUCAAUAAAGAGCUGCCGCCUGGCUUAUUAGUGUGUUGUAUUUGUGGAUUGGUACACGUACCGAGCAGAGUAUUGUCUCAUGUUAUACUUGUCUUGCAAUUAGGUAAUUAUUGCUUAUUCUCUUGAGGGAGUCAGUGGAGGUUUUUUUUUGAGAUCAGUAUCUGUUAUGGAUACAAUAGCCAUAUCAAAGUUUGCUUGCUCAUCGAGCCCCUUCAUAUUUGAUGUAUCCAUACGACUUGAAAUCACAUCAAAGGUGCAUAUCAAGUGUACACUAGUAGUCAAGGUUAAGAUUAUUAUGAAAGAUCAUUAAUUUAGACAUGUGUUAUUUAUAUUAAAAUUACUAAAUGUCCUUUUAAUUUAUAUUACUUAGAUCAUUUAUUUAUUGUUAUAUGUAUGACAAUAUUUGAUUCUAAUGAUUAUGUAAUAAUAUUGAUA
rnacentral:misc_RNA from 1 species